rnacentral:rRNA from 1 species
CCUACGGGGUGCAGCAGUGGGGAAUAUUGGACAAUGGGCGAAAGCCUGAUCCAGCCAUGCCGCGUGUGUGAAGAAGGCCUUCGGGUUGUAAAGCACUUUCAGUGGGGAAGAAAGCCUUGGGGCUAAUACCCUCGAGGAAGGACAUCACCCACAGAAGAAGCACCGGCUAACUCCGUGCCAGCAGCCGCGGUAAUACGGAGGGUGCGAGCGUUAAUCGGAAUUACUGGGCGUAAAGCGCGCGUAGGCGGUCUGAUAAGCCGGUUGUGAAAGCCCCGGGCUCAACCUGGGAACGGCAUCCGGAACUGUCAGGCUAGAGUGCAGGAGAGGAAGGUAGAAUUCCCGGUGUAGCGGUGAAAUGCGUAGCGAUCGGGAGGAAUACCAGUGGCGAAGGCGGCCUUCUGGACUGACACUGACGCUGAGGUGCGAAAGCGUGGGUAGCAAACAGGAUUAGAUACCCGAGUAGUC